rnacentral:sRNA from 1 species
GGUCAGCCUGCUCAACUGCUCCAACGCCACGGUAGGGGCGGGGGCGGGGGCAGGGGGCUCCGGGACCCUCAGUCCCUCGGACCAGCCGGGUUUUGUUUUCCUGUGGCCACAGCCCGAGGUGCCAGGUGUGAGGCAUUCCUUGGACAGUCAAGGGUCUCCUCCUGCAGUUCUUCACCGUUUUAUUAAUAUCCACAAGUCAUCAUGGAGCACACAGAAAUCUCACCCUGACACCAAGAGUUGUCAUGGUCUCUGCCUGGGUCACCACAGUGAGCCCUGUGGCUCAGCUUCGCACCUGUGGCUGACAUCAUUGCUGAGGACUUCGUCCUGUCCAUGGAGCAGGUCAACUGGCUGUCAUUGGUCUACCUCGUGGUAUCCACCCCAUUUGGCGUGGUGGCUAUCUGGAUCCUGGACUCCGUCGGGCUCCGUGCGGUGCCAAGCUGGCUGCCUUGUGGUUCCCAGAGCACCAGCGAACCACGGCCAACAUGCUCGCCACCAUGU